AUGCUCCGCACUGAUAGUGUACCUGCUGAAUUCUACCAGCACUGCUGGGAUGUUGUUUGCAUGGAUCUCCUUAGGCUUUUUGAGUGGUUUCAUGAGGGCAGACUAGAUGUGCAAUGCUUGAAUUAUGGCAUUAUCACCCUUUUGCCCAAAUCCUCGGAGGCCAAUAGGAUUCAACAGUACAGACCUAUUUGCUUGUUGCGAUGCCCUUAUAAGUUGAUCACCAAGGUCAUGGAUAGGAGAGCGAGUGUGUAUGCCCCCAAACUAUUUAGUAUACGGCAGAAUGCCUUCAUAAAAGGGAGGGACAUUAUGGACGGGAUCCUAUCGCUUCAUGAAGUCAUUCAUUAUACUCAUAUAAAAAAAAGGACGGGGAUUGUCCUUAAACUUGAUUUCGAAAAAGCCUAG
rnacentral:rRNA from 1 species